CUGCCCAACAAUUUCCUCUUAAAGAGGUAGCUGGAGCUGAAGGCAUAGUCAAGGUUAGUGCUCCUUCUUCUUUAUCCGACCUCUCCCAAAUCAGUUAACAUUUAGGCUCUUUUUCAUCAAAUAUAAAAACCCAGCCCAGUUCAUGGCCCAUUUGGCAACAGCCCUCGGACCCUUUACCGCCCUAGACCCAGAAGGGCCAAAAGGCUGUCUUAUUCUCAAUAUACAUUGUAUUACCCAAUCUGCUUUUGACAUUAGAAAAAGCUCUAAAAAUUAGAUUCCAGCCCUCAAACCCCAUAACAGGACUUAAUUAACCUCGCUUUCAAGGUGGACAAUAAUAGAGAAGAGUUGCAAUUACUUGCCUCCGCUGUGAGAGAAACCCCAGCCACAUCUCCAGCACAGAAGAACUUCAAAAUGCCUGAACUGCAGCGGCCAGGCAUUCCUCCAGGACCUCCUCCCCCAGGAUCUUGCUUCAAGUGCUGGAAAUCUGGCCACUGGGCCAAGGAAUGCCCACAGCCUGGGAUUCCUCCUAAGCCAUGUCCCAUCUGUGUGGGACCCCACUGGAAAUCAGACUGUCCAACUCACCUGGCAGCCACUCCCAGAGCCCCUGGAACUCUGGCCCAAAGCUCUCUGACUAACUCCUUCCCAGAUCUUCUAGGCUUAGUGGCUGAAGACUGAUGCUGCCUGAUUACCUAAAAAUCCUCCUGGACCAUCAUGGAUAGCUCUUACAGUGGAGGACAGGAAUAGGCCUCGACUUACUCACUGCUGAAAAAGGAGGACGCUGCAUAUUUGUAAAUGAAGAGUGUUGUUUUUACCUAAAUCAAUCUGGCCUGAUAUAUGACAACAUAAAAAACUGAAGGAUAAAGCCCAAAAACUCGCCAACCAAGCAAGUAAUUAUGCUGAACCCCCUUGGGCACUCUCUAAUUGAAUGUCCUGGGUCCUCCCAAUUCUUAAUCCUUUAAUACCUGUUUUUCUCCCUCUCUUAUUUGGACCUUGUGUCUUCCGUUUAGUUUCUCAAUUCAUACAAAACUGUAUCCAGGCCAUCACCAAUCAUUCUAUAUGACAAAUGCUCCUUCUAAGAAGUGAAAAUGGCCGGUUCCUGCUGUAACUGAUGACAUUACCUUGUGAAAUUCCUACUCCUGGCUCAGAAGCUCCCCAACUGAGCACCUUGUGACCCUCGCCCUUGCCCACAAGAGAACAACCCCCUUUGACUGUAAUUUUCCACUACCUACCCAAGUGUUGGCAAAAUAAACUUUCUAAAUUAACUGAGACCUGUCUCAGAUUUCCUGGGUUCACAGUACUUUUAGGAAAGAGAUCCCAGGGAGCUCUCUAGCCUUCUUCCCACCAUGAGAGAACACUGGAAAAAAAUGGCCAUCUAUGAAGCAGCCCUCUCCAGACAUUGAAUCCUCUAGUGCCUUCAUCUUGGACUUCUCAGCCUGCAGAACUGUGGGGAAUAAAU
rnacentral:lncRNA from 1 species